AUGAGGUAGUCUCCAGAUCUGACAAAAUCGAUUCUAUCAGAACCAUCUCCGACUCCUCCUCUGCGUCCAGCUCUAUAUCUAACAAUCGACGGUCGUUUUAUCACAAUCGGAAGCCGGAGGAAUUGCAAAUUGAAAAUGUUCGAGAAAAGGUAGAAGAAGAGAGUGGAGAAAAUCAGAAACAAAUCGUGAAUGGAGUAUCUAACAAUCGCCUGUCCUCCAAUCGGAAACUGAAGGAAUCGACAAGUGAAAAUGUUAGGGUUCAGGAUGAACAAAUUGAUGGAGAAUCGAAGAAGAAAAAGAAAAAGGAUGAAGAAUGCAUGGAAAUCUAAGGUGCAGGAAAACCUAACUGGAGGAAAUGAACUUGAGGAGAAAAAUCCGGUGGCUGUGAGUGAAGGGAAGGAAGUUAAGAAGAAGAUUCCCGUGGUUGUGAGUGAAGGAGA
rnacentral:lncRNA from 1 species